rnacentral:rRNA from 1 species
GAUGAACGCUAGCGGGAGGCCUAACACAUGCAAGCCGAGCGGUAGAGUCUCUUCGGAGACUUGAGAGCGGCGCACGGGUGCGGAACACGUGUGCAACCUGCCUUUAUCUGGGGGAUAGCCUUUCGAAAGGAAGAUUAAUACCCCAUAAUAUACUGGAUGGCAUCAUCUGGUAUUGAAAACUCCGGUGGAUAGAGAUGGGCACGCGCAAGAUUAGAUAGUUGGUGAGGUAACGGCUCACCAAGUCAGCGAUCUUUAGGGGGCCUGAGAGGGUGAUCCCCCACACUGGUACUGAGACACGGACCAGACUCCUACGGGAGGCAGCAGUGAGGAAUAUUGGACAAUGGGUGAGAGCCUGAUCCAGCCAUCCCGCGUGAAGGACGACGGCCCUAUGGGUUGUAAACUUCUUUUGUAUAGGGAUAAACCUAGAUACGUGUAUCUAGCUGAAGGUACUAUACGAAUAAGCACCGGCUAACUCCGUGCCAGCAGCCGCGGUAAUACGGAGGGUGCAAGCGUUAUCCGGAUUUAUUGGGUUUAAAGGGUCCGUAGGCUGAUUUGUAAGUCAGUGGUGAAAUCUCACAGCUUAACUGUGAAACUGCCAUUGAUACUGCAAGUCUUGAGUGUUGUUGAAGUAGCUGGAAUAAGUAGUGUAGCGGUGAAAUGCAUAGAUAUUACUUAGAACACCAAUUGCGAAGGCAGGUUACUAAGCAACAACUGACGCUGAUGGACGAAAGCGUGGGGAGCGAACAGGAUUAGAUACCCUGGUAGUCCACGCCGUAAACGAUGCUAACUCGUUUUUGGGUUUUCGGAUUCAGAGACUAAGCGAAAGUGAUAAGUUAGCCACCUGGGGAGUACGAACGCAAGUUUGAAACUCAAAGGAAUUGACGGGGGCCCGCACAAGCGGUGGAUUAUGUGGUUUAAUUCGAUGAUACGCGAGGAACCUUACCAAGGCUUAAAUGGGAAAUGACAGGUUUAGAAAUAGACUUUUCUUCGGACAUUUUUCAAGGUGCUGCAUGGUUGUCGUCAGCUCGUGCCGUGAGGUGUUAGGUUAAGUCCUGCAACGAGCGCAACCCCUGUCACUAGUUGCCAUCAUUAAGUUGGGGACUCUAGUGAGACUGCCUACGCAAGUAGAGAGGAAGGUGGGGAUGACGUCAAAUCAUCACGGCCCUUACGCCUUGGGCCACACACGUAAUACAAUGGCCGGUACAGAGGGCAGCUACACAGUGAUGUGAUGCAAAUCUCGAAAGCCGGUCUCAGUUCGGAUUGGAGUCUGCAACUCGACUCUAUGAAGCUGGAAUCGCUAGUAAUCGCGCAUCAGCCAUGGCGCGGUGAAUACGUUCCCGGGCCU